AAUUCUCAACCUUGAAAGGCUUGUCUUUUCAAUGGCUUGGAUGUGAGGGUUUUGCUGGCUUCCUUUAGUGGAUGGUCUGCUCCCUUUAAAAGCAUUAGUGGGAUCCUUUGUGGACGGUCACUUGGUGUGAUAAUUAUCUACGCCGUUUGUACUGUGAAGCAAAACUUGUGGGAACCUGCUUAUAACCGUCUGUAAUGGACAAUUUUGAAC
rnacentral:misc_RNA from 1 species